rnacentral:lncRNA from 1 species
GGAUGAGGAGGUUACCUAGUGCAAAACAGUCCAAUGCUUCUUUAUAGUGGAGAGGGUGGAAGGAAAUGAGAUGCUCUUUGAAACUUCAAGAACUUAUGGAAAUGCAAUGGAAUGAAACUUGGUCUUUUCCUAUUUCCUUGCUUGCUUGAAAAUAGUGGCAGCCUCUGCCCUUCAGAUUAGGGUUUGGAUGUCUUAAAUAUGUUGGAUUAAAG